GCGGAGGAAAAGAAACCAACAGGGAUUGCCUUAGUAACGGCGAGUGAAGCGGCAACAGCUCAAAUUUGAAAUCUGGUCCCCUUUGGGGGCCCGAGUUGUAAUUUGAAGAGGAUGCUUUUGGCGAGGCGCCGUCCGAGUUCCCUGGAACGGGACGCCGCAGAGGGUGAGAGCCCCGUACGGUCGGACGCCGAGCCUCUGUAAAGCUCCUUCGACGAGUCGAGUAGUUUGGGAAUGCUGCUCAAAAUGGGAGGUAAACCCCUUCUAAAGCUAAAUACUGGCCAGAGACCGAUAGCGCACAAGUAGAGUGAUCGAAAGAUGAAAAGCACUUUGAAAAGAGAGUUAAAAAGCACGUGAAAUUGUUAAAAGGGAAGCGCUUGCGACCAGACUUGCGCCCGUCGGAUCAACCGUCGCUUGCGGCGGCGCACUCCGGCGGGCUCAGGCCAGCAUCAGUUCGUCCGGGGGGAGAAAGGCGGCGGGAAUGUGGCUCUUCGGAGUGUUAUAGCCCGCCGUGUAAUACCCUCGGGUGGACUGAGGACCGCGCGUAUGCAAGGAUGCGGCGUA
rnacentral:rRNA from 1 species